UGGGGAAUAUUGGACAAUGGGCGCAAGCCUGAUCCAGCAAUGCCGCGUGAAGGAUGAAGUAUUUCGGUAUGUAAACUUCGUAAGAAUAGGAAGAAUAAAUGACGGUACUAUUUGUAAGGUCCGGCUAACUACGUGCCAGCAGCCGCGGUAAUACGUAGGGACCAAGCGUUGUUCGGAUUUACUGGGCGUAAAGGGCGCGUAGGCGGUGUGUCAAGUCAGUUGUGAAAUCUCCGAGCUUAACUCGGAACGGUCAACUGAUACUGUCACACUAGAGUACAGAAGGGGCAAUCGGAAUUCUUGGUGUAGCGGUGAAAUGCGUAGAUAUCAAGAGGAACACCUGAGGUGAAGACGGGUUGCUGGGCUGACACUGACGCUGAGGCGCGAAAGCCAGGGGAGCAAACGGGAUUAGAUACCCACGUAGUCCCUGAGCGGGCUGGCAAGGCGCAU
rnacentral:rRNA from 1 species